GAUGAACGCUGGCGGCGUGCCUAAUACAUGCAAGUCGAGCGAACGGACGAGAAGCUUGCUUCUCUGAUGUUAGCGGCGGACGGGUGAGUAACACGUGGAUAACCUACCUAUAAGACUGGGAUAACUUCGGGAAACCGUAGCUAAUACCGGAUAAUAUUUUGAACCGCAUGGUUCAAAAGUGAAAGACGGUCUUGCUGUCACUUAUAGAUGGAUCCGCGCUGCAUUAGCUAGUUGGUAAGGUAACGGCUUACCAAGGCAACGAUGCAUAGCCGACCUGAGAGGGUGAUUGGCCACACUGGAACUGAGACACGGUCCAGACUCCUACGGGAGGCAGCAGUAGGGAAUCUUCCGCAAUGGGCGAAAGCCUGACGGAGCAACGCCGCGUGAGUGAUGAAGGUCUUCGGAUCGUAAAACUCUGUUAUUAGGGAAGAACAUAUGUGUAAGUAACUGUGAACAUCUUGACGGUACCUAAUCAGAAAGCCACGGCUAACUACGUG
rnacentral:rRNA from 1 species